UACAGAGGCCUCAAGCGUUAUCCGGAAUUAUUGGGCGUAAAGGGUGCGCAGACGGCGUAGUUAGUCUCUCGUUAAAGACCAAGGCUUAACCUUGGAAGUGCGGGGGAUACGGCUACGCUCGAGGAUGUAAGAGGUGAAUGGAACUCAUAGUGUAGGGGUGAAAUCCGUUGAUAUUAUGGGGAACACCAGAUGCGAAGGCAAUUCACUGGUACAUUCCUGACGUUCAUGCACGAAAGCGUGGGUAGCGAAUGGG
rnacentral:rRNA from 1 species